rnacentral:rRNA from 1 species
GACAGAGGAUGCAAGCGUUAUCCGGAAUGAUUGGGCGUAAAGCGUCUGUAGGUGGCUUUUCAAGUCCGCCGUCAAAUCCCAGGGCUCAACUCUGGACAGGCGGUGGAAACUACCAAGCUCGAGUACGGUAGGGGCAGAGGGAAUUUCCGGUGUAGCGGUGAAAUGCGCAGAUAUCGGGAGGAACACCGGUGGCGAAGGCGGUUCUCUGGGCCUUACCUGACGCUGAGGAGCGAAAGCGUGGGGAGCGAACAGG